rnacentral:lncRNA from 1 species
GGUGGCUAGACAAGAUGGCGGAUCCCCACUGCAAAAGUUUCUCUAAGUUUCAAAAGGUCAAGGCCUAGAUCAGCACUAGCAAAAGCAGCAGGAACAACUUUAGUGAAAUCACUAAGACAGAAUUCGCACAAGGAACUCAAUGUCUGUACAAGAGGAUGCAGCAUUCAAGGUUCUAUCUUGGAAGCAGAGACUGUGCCCUCACCAGAUGCUGAACCUGCUGAGCACCCUGAUCUUCCACUUCACCUUCAUCAGAACUACUGCUGUGAUUGCACCUGCCAUCUUAUGCAGAAAUGACCUGAAGACAGACUGAAACAACGUGUUCUACAGCCUGAAAAUAUCUACCUUGACUUACAGUUUUAUUAAUGCUGGUGUGAUCAGACUGGACAAAAAUUAGCAUAUGUUAUUAACUGAUCUAAUUCAAGUGCCAAUUCUUAAUAGAAACACAAAACAAUAAAAGCAAUUCAGAAAA